rnacentral:lncRNA from 13 species
UGACCUCGUGAUCCACCCGCCUCGGCCUCCCAAAGUGCUGGGAUUACAGGCUUGAGCCACCGAGCCCGGCCUCCCAAAAACUUUUUAACCCAUAAUGUAGCCUAUAAUAUAAAGUAUUACAUUAGGGGGGGAAAAAAAACCCUUUGUGUUAUAAAAUGCAAACCUGUCUGCCAUUUUAUAGGAGCCUAGGAAUAUGAGCCCAAAGAAUGAAGGAAUGAGAAGAAGGGGAAAAAAAGUUACUUCUCGCAUUACUGGGACACAAAAUGGGGAAACACCUUGUUUCUACUUCUACAAGGAACCAGACUGCCAUCUCUAG